GGAAUCUUCCACAAUGGGCGCAAGCCUGAUGGAGCAACACCGCGUGAGUGAAGAAGGGUUUCGGCUCGUAAAGCUCUGUUGUUAAAGAAGAACACGUAUGAGAGUAACUGUUCAUACGUUGACGGUAUUUAACCAGAAAGCCACGGCUAACUACGUACCAG
rnacentral:rRNA from 1 species